ACAGUAACCAAAUGACCGAAUAUUUGAGUGUAGAUCUCUUAACGCAAGCCAAAUAGCUGCUGAGAUAAAACCAUUCAAUCCGAGAGUUGAUAACGACAAACUUUAUUUGAGUAUGGAUACUGCCGGAUACGCAUUUACUCCGAGUAAAGACCCCCAGUCAUAUGCCCUGAGUACAGACAAGAUGUCAACAGCAGAAACAGCUACAGAAGCCACAGAUGCUAAUACAGACAACAAAACAGCGGACAACACAAAUAACAACCAAGCGAAACCUAUUAAUAGGAAUGCAAGUAAAAAAGAUCUAAAGAAUGAUUCAUCUAGAUUUGAAAGUCCAGGUAUAAACUUCAUUGCAAAGUUGAUAGGCAUUAAUGAUGUUGAGAGUGCUCGGGGUGACAAGAUGUGUCAGGAAUCCAUGGUCAAACUGAAACUGGCUGUAAGACAGUCCAAACAACACAAACAGAAAAUAAUCGUGAAUGUUUCAUUGGAUGGCAUUAGGAUUAUUGAUACAAAAACACAAGCUACCAAUUUCACACAUGCAGUCCAUAAGAUAUCGUUUAUAUCUCGUGAUGUCAGUGACAGCCGAGCGUUUGGCUACGUGUAUGGAGCUGGGGAAGGGAAACACAAAUUCUACGCAAUAAAAACGGAGAAAGCAGCAGAGGCCCUGGUGCUUACAUUACGGGAUCUCUUCCAAGUGGUCUACGAAAUAAAGAAGAAAGAGGUGGAGGAGGCCAAACACAAGAUUGAGGAGGCGCCCGUAGAUAAGCCAUCUGAAAGCCAGAGUGGAGAGGACCCUGUAUACUCGGUGCCCAAUAAGGCCAGGCCUGUGGAGAGUGCUACAGAUCCCACGUAUGAGGUGCCACCUAACAAUCAGCCUGUGGUGGAGGAGGAGGCACCAGACCUGCUCAACCUGGAGAGUGAAAUGGAGGCCAUGGAACGGAGGAUUGAGCAGAUCGACACUAUGGAGGAGUUCUUUGCUGAGCUGGAGGCGCCGGCCCCUGUCAAGAAGACCAUGGCCCCUGUCUCCUCUGAUAGCACCUCGUUUGCCAGUGACCUUGCCUCUCUCUCAGGCACCAUGUCUCCACCUGUCCAGCCCAUGUUCUCUGUGGGUGGUGCAGCGUUUGGGGCCAGCCAGCCUUUUGGAGUGCCACAGCAGUCUUCUAACCCAUUUGGUCAGCCAUUUGGUGCUGGUCAGCCAUUUGGUGCUGGUCAGCCAUUUGGUGCUGGUCAGCCAUUUGGUGCUAGUCAGCCAUUUGGUGGUCAGGGAAGUUUUCAGGCCGGUUUUCAGCAAACUGGGUUUGGGGCUAAACCGGUUUCCCCACAACUUGGAUUUGGUGGUCAGCCUAACAUGUUUCAGGCCCCCUCUGUUCCUCCACGUGUGGUACCUGGGUUCCAGGGUCAGCCUGGUAUGAACCUUUUCCCCGGCAUGCAGCAGGGAUUCCCCCAGAGUGGACCCCCGGCUCCACAGGCUACCUCGCCCUUUCCACAAGUGUCCGAUGACCCGUUUGGCAAUGAUCCGUUUGGUGGUUCCCAGGAUGUCUUCAGUGACAGCCUUCUGACUCCAGCCCGGAACGAGCAGGCCAGCCCACAGCCCCCCACCACCACGCCAGCAAAGAAAGAUGCAUUUGAUGGUUUGGUUGACAUCAGUCCGAAAACUGGGACAAACCUUAAGCCCAAAGACAUGUUCUUUGCAACACCUGAAAAGAAGUCAAUGAAUGAACUGAAGGGAAAGAACCCGAAAGAGUCUGCUUCUUUGGUCAAUGAUCCUUUCGGGAUGAACUCGGCAUUUAAAUAGGUCAGUCAGAGGUUCUAUUUAAAUAGGUCAGUCAGAGGUUCUAUUUAAAUAGGUAUACAAGUCUGACCAAAGACUGAUCAUUGUUCUCAGCUAGGACCUAUGCAAAUGUUACUGGAAGUUCUUAGACAAGAAUUACAUUUCAGACACAAAGUCAAAUUGUUUCGUUCAAGUUUUAAUGGUUAGAUUUAUCUUACUGGCCUUUUAAGAAGUAGUUGAAAUGAAUUGCUUUCUUAUAUAUACACAAACUUUUGUAUUAGCUCAUCAUGAAGUGUGAAGACUAUUUAUGUGAUAGUGUAAUGAAAUUAUCCUAAAUGAUUGGACUAAUUUAAAAUUAUAGCAUGGACCUUACCUUUUGUGUUAUUUGAUGGACAAUCUUGCAAAACACGUAAUGCAAACCAGGGGGCCUUUUCAUAAACAAUCGUACGACAAAUUUAACUUACAAGAGAAUUUUGUAAUCUUAAUAAGUAGACGAACUAGCUCGCCAUGCUUAUCAAAUAUAUAUGGCGCAUGAGAUGCCAAUGUAAUUAAGUACUGAAAAUUUAUUAUCAUAUGAUAUAGACUUGAGCAAUUAUGUAUCUUCGAAAAAUGUAUCGUAAAUGUUUACUACGAUGUUUAUUGAAACGGUCCCCACAAAAUAAUAACCAUAUUUGUGAUGGUAAAUGUAAAUAUUUGCAAGUGUGCCAUAUAGAGCCUUAUGGCUGUGUUUGUUAAAUGUUAAGUUUAUUGUGAAACUAAUUGUUUUUAAAAGGAAUACUCAAUUAGAGCCGUGUUACCCAACCAACGUUUAGGUUUAUUUAGGUAACAUUCACUGAUUACUAGUCCCACUUACUUACAUGUUGAACUUAUACAUUAGUCCCAAUAAUUUACAGGUUUACCUUAUACCAAACUGACCGAUUAUAAGUCCCACUAACUAACAGGUUAUAUUUAUACUCCAAAAAAUGCUUUUCAGUUCAACUAACUUACAUGUUUACUUAUUAUAUCAUUGAGUCCGAAUAAGUCCCGCCAAGUGAAAAAUUUACUUUGUGACCCUAUUGACUGAGUUGUUUAUUGUCAGGGUACACCAUUGUUUGUAUUAAUGAGAGGCAUAAUAAGACUAUGUCGCUUUAAUAGUAUUUUACAUAAGAACAAUAUAGUAUGUUACAUUAAUAGUAUAAUUAAUAGCUGUGAUAUUAACUUACUGACUGGCAUUAUAUUAUUAAAGACUCGGAAUGUUAUAACUGUCUGAUUGACGCAACUUAUCACAUAAACUAUAAAAACUUAUUUAGGCGCAUAUCAUCAGGGAAUUGAUACAAACAUUGAUUUUGGAAAUUUUUCUGCUGAAGAUAAUUAUUAAAAAGGCUUUGUUUAAUAAAACGUGUUAAAACAUUUCAAAUCUAUAUAAUGUAAUAUAUAUUAUUAGCGGAGAAAACCUGAGGUAUUGUCAUAGCCAGCUCGUCGUCCACUGUCCGCCGGCUUCGUGUUAAAACUUUGACAUUUUUCUCUAAAAUCAAAGUGCUUCCACUAACAACUUUGAAAACUUCAUAAUAUGUAGGUGCACCUUGAUGAGUUCUACACGCUACACCCAUUUUUGGGGUCACUAGGUUAAAGGUCAGGGUCACUGUGACCUCUUAAAAAAGAAAAUUCUGACAAGCUUUCAUUAAUUCAAAAAUGCACCCGCAGCCGAGCGUUGGCACCUGUUAUGCGGUGCUCUUGUUUAUGGUGAUAUGCCCAUUCAAGCUUCAAUAUUAUAACAUAUUAUAUGAUACUAGGAUAAGAUGAACUAUAUGCUUUGAAGAUGUUUAUUCUUUCAUGUCUUAGAAUUUUAUCAUCCUUUCAUUUUGGCCUGGUUGUAAAAAUAUGACAUUUUAUUCCACGUCAUUGAAAUAAGAAUGUCUUCCAAUCAAUUUGUAAUUGAAAUAUUACAACAUUUGUUUCAUAAUGCUCAUAGCUAUAUUAUACACAAUUGUUUGUGCAAUACCUGUAUGGUGUGAAGAAUUGUUGAUUGUUCAAUAGUUUAGCUAGGUUGUUUGUAAGUUCUGUUGAGUUUGCAAAAAGAUUUAAGAGGUCAUUUGCAAGUUUAUUGUUGUGGUUCAUUGUGAUUUAGCUUUAGUUUGCAUUUUUAGCUCACCUGAGCACAACGUGCUCAUGGUGAGCUUUUGUGAUCACCUUUUGUCCGUCGUUCCUCGUGCGUUGUGCGACGUCAACAUUUGACUUGUUAACUCUCUAGAGGCCACAUUUAUUGUCCAAUCUUCAUGAAAUUUGGUCAGAAGAUUUGUCUCAAUAUAUCUUGGAUGAGUUUUAAAAUGGUAACCGUUUCUCGAAAAACAUGGCUGCCUAGGGGGGGGGGCAUUUUUCCUUAUAUGGCUAUAUAUGGCUAUAGUAAAAUCGUGUUAACACUCCAGAGGCCACAUUAAUUGUCUGAUCUUCAUGAAACUUGGUCAGAAGAUUCAUCCCAAUAAUAUCUUGGAUGAGUUAAAAAAUGAUGCCAGUUGGUUGAAAAACAUGGCCACCACGGGGGCAGGGCAUUUUUUCUUAUAUAGCUAUAGUAAAACCUUGUUAACACUCUAGAGGUCACAUUUAUAUUCCGAUGAGUUCGAACAUGAUGCUGGUUGGUUGAAAAACAUGGCCGCCAGGGGGCGGGGCAUUUUUCCUUAUAUGGCUAUAGUAAAACCUUGUUAACACUCUAGAGGCCACAUUUAUAUAUAUAUAUAUUUUCUGAUCUUCAUGAAACUUGCUCAGAAGAUUUGUCCCAAUGAUAUCUAGGAUGAGUUCAACAAUGGUAACCUUUGCUUGAAAAACAUGGCUGCCAAGGGGCAUUUUUCUUAUACAUCUAAACAUGUAUAUGGCUAUAUAAAAAUCUUCCAAUCUUCAUGAAAUUUGGUCAGAAGAUUGGUCUCAAUGAUAUCUUGGAUGAUUUCGAAAAUGGUUACCUUUGCUUGAAAAACAUGGCUGCUAAGGGGCGGGCCAUUUUUCCUUAUAUGGCUCUAUAUUGCUAUAGUAAAAUCUUGUUAACACUCCAGAGGCCACAUUUAUUGUCUGAUCUUCAUGAAACUUGGUCAGAAGAUUCAUCCCAAUAAUAUCUUAAGUGAGUUCAAAAAUGAUGCAGGUUGGUUGAAAAACAUGGCCACCACAGGGGCGGGGCAUUUUUUCCUUAUAUGGCUAUAGUAAAACCUGGUUAACACUCUAGAGGUCACAUUUAUUUUCCGAUGAGUUCGAACAUGAUGCUGGUUGGUUGAAAAACAUGGCCGCCAGGGGGUGGGGCAAUUUUCCUUAUAUGGCUAUAGUAAAACCAUGUUAACACUCUAGAGGCCACAUUUAUUGUCCAAUCUUCAUGAAAUUUGGUCAGAAGAUUUUUCUUAUUGAUAUUUUGGAUGAGUUCGAAAAUGGUUACGUUUGAUUGAAAAACAUGGCUGCCAAGGGGCGGGGCAUUUUACCUCAUAUGGCUAUAGUAAAAUCUUGUGAACGCUCUAGAGGCCACAUUUAUAGUCCGAUCUUCAUGAAACUCGGUCAGAAGAUUUAACCCAAUAAUAUCUUGGACAAGUUCAAAAAUGAUUGCAGGUUGGUUGAAAAACAUGGCCACCACAGGGGCGGGGCAUUUUUCUUUAUAUGGCUAUAGUAAAACCUUGUUAACACUCUUGAGGUCACAUUUAUUUUCCGAUCAUCAUAAAACUUAGUUAGAAGAUUUGUCCCAAUGAUAUCUUGGAUGAGUUCGUAAAUGGUUUUGGUUGCUUAAAAAACAUGGCCACCAGGGGGCGGGGCAUUUUUCCUUAUAUGGCUAUAUAUGGCUAUCGUAAAACCUUGUUAACACUCUAGAGGCCACAUUUAUUGUCCAGUCUUCAUGAAAUUUGGUCAGAAGAUUGGUCUUAAUGAUCUUGGAUUAGUUUGAAAAUAAUUAUGUUUGCUUGAGAAACAUGGCUUUCAAGAGGCGGGGCAAUUUUCCUUAUAUGGCUAUAGUAAAAUCUUGUUAACACUCUAGAGGCCACAUUUACUGUCCGAUCUUCAUGAAACUUGGACAGAAGAUUCAUCCCGAUUAUAUCUUGGACGAGUUCAGAAAUGAUGCCAGUUGGUUGAAAAACAUGGCUGCCAGGGGGCGGGGCAUUUUUCCUUAUAUGGCUAUAAUAAAACCUUGUUAACACUCUAGAGGCCACAUUUAUUUUCCGAUCUUCAUGAAACUUGGUCAGAAAAUUUGUCCCAAUAACAUCUUGUUAUCUCAGGUGAGCGACUUUGGGCCUUUCAGGCCCUCUUGUUUUACUUUUUCAUAAGUGUUCAACAUGAAUUACCAAAUUUGGACGAUGGGAACCAGAGCUUGCAUGAACUACUUUUUUUCAACUGUUUGUGUAAACCUCCUUGCCCUAGUAAAAAAUACUACAGGUAUUAUAAGUUCACAUGCAAUAUUGUUCAAUAAAAGCGUGAAAUAUUUGUAAAAUAUUGUUUGACACUAAAUUGAAAUAUGAGCAUAAAGUUAUCCUGUUGACAGAGGCUAAAAACAAUAAAAUAAAAAGGGGUCAGGCCCCUGAUUUUUUCAUCAUUUUUGGAAAUUGGAACUCAAUGUUUGUUUAUUGUCUUUUGAAAACAGGUUUUUCUAUAUGGAGAAUCAUGUCAGUAUUUAUUUAGAUAAAUAAGUUAUGUUUUCUUCUUUUGUCUAAUGAUAAUAGGUUUUUCUAUAUGGAAAAUCAUGGAGGAGAUAAAUCAGUUACCGGUAUUUUUCUUCUUACCAACAUCCUGAUAAUAAAGGAUGAAACUUUCAUUUCUGCAAUUUUGGAAGUCCUGCAUCUCUGGAUUAUCAUUUCAGGCAAUAUAUAUUACCUGGCUGUAAAUUACUCCCUAAUUUAUUACAAUACUAUGCAUAGAAUGACUAUUACAAUUUCAACCAUAUAUACGUAGUUUUACAAGUCUAUUACAGUUUCAACAAUGUACCGGUAUACAUGUACAUAGUUCACAUAUGUAAACCAUGAACCAAAUAUGUAUAUCUGUCAACAUUAAAGCGGAUUACCGGUACAAUCUUAAGAGUUCAGUCCCCUCUUAACAUGUACUGAGUGAUUUUUAACAGUUCCUUAACUCUGCAGUGAGAAUGUGUCCAUUAAUUUUGUUUGAUCAUUUUGCAUGAUUGUUCCAUUCACUGUGAAAGAUAUAUUAUUUUAGUAUUUACCAUAUUUCUUAUCUUCCAUUAUAUGCUAAUAUUUUACUACUUGUAUUUGUGUAGCCUGUUUUUUUAUAUAACAUUAAAAUGGCGGAUUAUGAAUGGCUGCCUUGCUGUACAAUGUAAGGGUUGAACGCAUGCUGUUGUAUAUUUCUUAAGAUGGCUUUUCCCUCAUAUACCGGUACUUAUGACUUUCAUUACUACUGUAAACCCGCUGUGAUGUGUAUUUCAUGUUGGUGUUUGUACCGAGUACUCGAUAGCUUCCAGAUCAAAAAGAUUGCUGGCUUGAUUAAAUUGUUAUGGUAAUUGAAAUAUUUAUUGAUAUAAAAAUAUUUUUAGUUAAUAAAGUAUUAUCUGAA